rnacentral:rRNA from 1 species
AGUCACUGACAUUAGAUACCCCCGUAGUCCAGGGUGUAAACGCUGCAGACUUGGUGUUGGAGGCCCUUUGGGGCAUUCAGUGCCGGAGAGAAGUUGUUAAGUCUGCUACUUGGGGAGUACGUCCGCAAGGAUGAAACUUAAAGGAAUUGGCGGGGGAGCACCGCAACGGGAGGAGCGUGCGGUUUAAUUGGAUUCAACACCGUAAACUCACCAGGGAAGACUGUUACAUGAAGGCCGAGAUGAAGACUCUGCUAGAUUUUCAG